CAAGACGAUGUUCAUAAAGCAACCCCUGAUCGAGAACCAGUUCCAGUUCUUGAUGUCAUAUGAACAUUGUAUUGGUUCACGGUCUGAAAUCAUGGAAGUUGAUUGCUAAAUGUUCCCAAAUGGAAUCCACCCUUGCCUUUGCAUUAUAUAACAAAUAUCACACCAAGUUGCAUCUGCAAAAACCGUUGACACUGCAGUUCAAAGCAUUUUUGGAACCUUUAGUUUUUGUAUUCUAAAAUUCGAAAUUCAAACUGGAAUCCCUCGACGGUUUUAGCAUUAUCAAGCAGGCAUUCUACAGCACUGACGUCUGUGGAAGCGUGUCUGCGUGCUCCUCUGAAAUCUGACUCCGGGUCGGGAGGGACAGCAUCUGCUCGCCAAACGCCGACCGCUCCCAAACCUCCCGUCCAAACGGUCGAGCCGGGACACAGGUGUGGGUGUGUUUGGCAUGUGCUGGAGGCGUGGUGCAGGUGCACAUGUGCCAAUUUGGGGCCGUCUAAGCUGGAGGUGGACGCAGGUGUGUGGCGAGCAGAUAAUAGGUGCUUGAGGGGAUGCAGGGGGCGUUUUGCGUCAUGUGAGCAUGGUGUUCUUUAGACAAAACGAAACGUCCUAAUCAGGUGCGUGAUGGGCAGGAGGCUUGUGCGACACUUGGUCGUGUAAUGCAAUGCCUUUAUUAAAGGCAGGUGAGACGGUAAUGAGGCCUGCAAUUAUGUCGACACCCGGCAUCCAAAACGCAUAAUGACGAUUUCAUUCAGACGAAUCAACAUAUUCAAAUGACACGAAAGAGUCUACAAUUUGAAGCAGUCAAAUGCCUGAUGAUGCAAAGGGAAAAUGUCUAUGCAAUUCACUUUUAAAUUAAUAAUCAGCAGAUGAGACAGAUACGAAAGGCACCAUGUAAAUUUUGACGAUCUGCAGCACCUUUAUGGCGUCUGUGACACAGGAGUAAUUGUGUCCUCUGUUGGAGAAGGAUUUGCAUGCUUCAACUUAUGCAGCGUGACUCGCCUCGCUCUCGUACACAAACUCUGACACACACACACACACACACACACACAUUGACUGUUAAACGCUGCUGCGUUCUCACCUACUCACUCUCAACCCCCCUCUGUUCCACUCGCACGCUCUUAACAAUUAAAACAGACCACGACUAUUUCCUCCUUUUCAAGCAAAUGUGGACAGGUGGAGGUUUGAUAGACUGGUCCGAAUGCCAGAUAACCUGUGCAGAGAAAAGCCAGAAUUACAUUUGUUAGAACAUGUGACCUAAACGGCCCAAUAGUGCUCGGAUGCUUUUUUUUUUCCCAGUUGUGGGGAACAGUUAAACUUGUUGCCUGACUGAGGGAGAAGCUUUCUGUGGGCCGCCACAACCACAAACCAAGUCUGCGACCGGUCACGGCUCUCUAGGCACCAGAAAACAGCGAGAUAAAGAUAGACGAGAGGGACUCGAGAGCGAAAGGGGGAGGGAGAGAACGUGUUGAUGUCAGCGUGUGAAUCAGCCAAAUCGACGAAAAAAACCACAGUGCCGCGUUUGCGCUCCGGCUCUUUUGCACAAGGGUAAGCAUCAGUCAACCACAGGCUGACCGCCGAUCGCAAUCUGCCGUGUCUCUGUGAACCAUGCACAGAAUCCAAGGACAGAACCGCCUCGCUGGACCGGCGCAGGGCGACCAUGGGUUCCAGGGGCCAAGCCGGGAGCCCUUCAAAAUUCGGGAGCAAAUCAAGUUGGAAGAGUUGGAUUCGGACGAAGACGAGGAGAAGCAGCCGCCGCAGCCUCCGUCACUCGCCAUGGCCUCCAACAGCAUCUUCGAAAACUUCCCGUCCUACCAGUCAUGCUUCUCCAGGGGUGAGUCUCCGAUGCGAUUGUCUGCCUUUUCGUGCAAACCCAGCUCUCAUCUCCAUCCAACGCGCAUCAAUGUGGUGUUUGAGCAAAGUGACGACACCGAGGUGCUGGUUUGCAGUGUCAGUGGAGUACUGAAAUCUUGUGGCUGAAUCUGAAAACCACAGGUCUGUGGGUUAGUGAGUACUUCACUAGUUAACCUCAUUCAACCAGCCGAUGCAUGGUGGACUCCAACAUGCCGUUUCGGACGUUUCCUUAUUGACAAAGCUUUAGAAACGGAGCUACUACCUUUUCAGUUCUUGUGUUCUUGUGCUUGGGUUUUAUAGUUUGUCGCAGAGCUCACAGUGAAACGAACCUGUUGCAUAAUAGAUUUUAAGAGCCUUUCUGGAUGUGUCCUUAUUGAAAAAAGCAAGGGAAAGGAAACUGCAUGAAUUUUAGCACAUGCAAUGUCAGUUUGAAAACUUUUUCCGGUUCUUGCAUUGUGUCAAACUUUGGGUUUUAUAGUUAUUUUGUUGCACAUUGAAAUGAAGCUGUUGCUUAACCUGCAUAAUAAGGCUUUAAAGGUCGUAUUGAAUGACUAUUCCUUUUUGAAAAAGCUAGCAACGAAACUGCAUGAGAGUUGUAUUGCAUGCAAUGCGAGUUCGAAACCGUUUUUGGUUCUUGCAUUAUGCAAAGUUUUAGAGUUAGAUUGUUUUUUGUUUUACGGGAGUCCUGUACAGUGGAACUAACCUGUUGCUAAACUCCAGAAUAGGGUUGCGUUGAAUGUGACUUCUUGGACAAAGCUAGAGAAAGGAAACUGCGUGAGUUUGAUCACCUGCAAUGUGAGUUUGAAAACUUUUUCAGUUCUUGCUUUGUGCCAGACCUUGAGUUUGUUGGGGUUUUUAUGGGAGUCUCGCACAGUGAAACUAACCUGUUGCCUAACUUUCAGAAUCACUUCAAUAGUUUAAAGGUCAUAUUGAAUGUCUUUUGGGAUGUUUACUUAUUGAAAAGGCUAGAGAAAGGAAGCUGCACGAGAGUUUUGUUGCAUGCAUUAUGAGUUUGAAAACAUUUUUGGUUCUUGCAUUGUGCUAAACGUUGAGUUUUUUUAUUUCUUCUUUUAUGGCAAGUGCGGUGUGCAAUGUGAAACUAACAGUUGUGCUAUUGCUAAAGUUUUAUAUUAUCACAGUAAUAGUUCAAAAGUUCAGAUUAAAUAUAUAUAAAUGUGUUAACAAAUGUCGUGCUUCUUCAUUCUACGAUAAAGAAGUCAUCUCUUGACUUAAAUCUCAGUUCUGUUUUUUUAUUAUUAUUAUUAUUAUUUUUCGUAUGACACAGAUAGAGAGAAACCGCUUCAUUUUUAUGCAGCAGUGGCGCGUCCUCACAGCUCUGGACUUUCCCUCCUGAUUAAAGCCUGUGUAGUUUCUCAGGUGCCUGCGGGUGUGCGAGUUCACAGCUGAAGCUGAAGAUGAUGCUUUAGUUUCAUACUGAAAUGACUGUGAGUGAAGGGUGAAUGGAAAUCACCCUGUAAUGGUUAAACUGACUCAUUUAGCAGCUCUGAGUGGAUCACCACACAGAUACAUUCUGCUGAGGUAACUGGCUCUUUGUAAGUCACUUCUAACUGUUUAAACAUGCAUUUUAAACGCUCAUUUUUAUCAUGGAUCAUGCCGUGUGAUCGUUUCUGUAGAUGCUGUUAAUGAGGUCAUGAGUUUUUUUUCUCUCAGUUGCUUCUUGAGAAAGUCUCAUUUCAGUUUCCUGACUGUCUCUUUCUCAUGCACACAUACGUCUACAUGCGUGCGAGCGCUUUCAGUUAACACAGGAAGUUUAUCAGUCGCACCCGAUGCAUGUCUGUUCUUGAGCACAUGUGAACAGCCCCGAUGUAACAUCUCGAAGACGAGGAGAAAACCACAUGAAACUAAAUAAACGACCUUUAUUCUAUUAAUGAUGUAGCGUUGCUGAAAUGAAGGCAUCUGUUUGUGCAGCUCAACGUGUAAGUUAGUUGUUUUAAAAUGAGAUGCCAGAAGUUUUAGCUCAUUUUAAAGAUUAUUUUGAACACAUCCUGCACUGUAUUUUAGCAGUUCUCAUUACAAUAUCAUUGGCAGUCAGCUUUACAUCAAGUGAAGCAAAAAUCACAUACCUACCCUGCCCCACACUUAAUGUUCCCUUAUUAUCUGAACCGGAGAGUCUGUCUGAACACCGGCGCAUUGUUAGCACGUCUCUGUGCAUGUGUCGUAUUUGCUGAUGUACAUUUGCAUAUACAUUUAUAUAUCAAAUAUGAAUGUUUGUUGCAUACAGCUCAUUUGCAUUUCCCUUUAUCAAGGAAAAACUAUGCAUAUGCAAAGCUGAAGUGCAUGUCAGCGUAUGUAAGCAUGCACAUGGAGUCACUUAUGCAGGCUUUUUGGCCUUUUUCAUCUAGCAGUCACAUUUCUCUUCUUUACUGUCAGCACGCAAACUGACAGACACGUGUGAGGAUUUACCCCGUAUCUCUCUGUGGUAUCGGUUUAUCAGAUGGUUCGAGUGUAAAUCUAAUACCCACACACCCUCUCUAUCGGAAUCGCUAUUCAUGCACGUGCUUACGGUUUUCAAAGAAAGUUCCCUCUUUAAGCUUAUUCUCUAAGUCGGCGCAGAAAGGAGAGUGUUUUUUUUUUUAUAAUAAGGGAAGUUUGCUUUGAGACACUGGCUUGACGUCAUCAUUAGAAGUGUUGGGGAAGCUGCUUUGAAACUGCAACUUGUCAAGCUACAAGACAAAGCUUCAGUCAAAUUACCUGUUUAAUAAACAAUAUUUAUAACAUUUUUAUAUUAUUACAAGCUACUAACAAAAAGUUAUGCUAUUUAACUAGACCUGUAUGUUUUUAAGUAUUAAAUAAUUAUAUAAUUGCAAUAAAAGCAACAUUUGAUGACCUAAUAUUUAUUUAUUUU